UCGCCUACGGGACGCAGCAGUCGGGAAUAUUGCGCAAUGGAGGAAACUCUGACGCAGUGACGCCGCGUAUAGGAAGAAGGUUUUCGGAUUGUAAACUAUUGUCGAUAGGGAAGAAAAAAGACUGUACCUAUCAAGAAAGCUCCGGCUAACUACGUGCCAGCAGCCGCGGUAAUACGUAGGGAGCAAGCGUUAUCCGGAUUUAUUGGGUUUAAAGGGUGCGUAGGCGGACAGUCAAGUCAGCGGUAAAAAUGCGGUGCUCAACGCCGUACAGCCGUUGAAACUGGCAGUCUUGAGUGGGCGAGAAG
rnacentral:rRNA from 1 species